rnacentral:rRNA from 1 species
UACGAAGGGGACUAGCGUUGUUCGGAUUUACUGGGCGUAAAGCGCGCGUAGGCGGAUCGCUAAGUCAGGGGUGAAAUCCUGGAGCUCAACUCCAGAACUGCCCUUGAUACUGGCGGUCUCGAGUCCGGGAGAGGUGAGUGGAACUGCGAGUGUAGAGGUGAAAUUCGUAGAUAUUCGCAAGAACACCAGUGGCGAAGGCGGCUCACUGGCCCGGUACUGACGCUGAGGUGCGAAAGCGUGGGGAGCAAACAGG